UUUCUUCUUUUUCUUUUCUUGACACUGCAGCACGUGCAGAACAGACGGAGCUCCCAUCUGCUGACGGUUUCAAUUAUCUGCUAGACGUGCUCAACAACGGUUCUAACAAAAACGUUAGGCGUAUAAAUACAAAAUACAAUGACCAGGAGAGCAGUCAAGGACUUAAUCUUCCAGAUAGUCCAUUCACAACUCCAAUAGGGAGCGGCAUUUCAACAGUAACAUAGAUUCAGAAACAAAGAAGAAAUAAAGGAGAUAGGGAGUAACCAAAGUUCAAGAUCAUUUCAAAGGUUGGAUACAAAACAAAG